CGGGUGCCGGACCCAAAGUACGGCAGAGGUUUUAGAUGGGCCUCGAGCCCUACCAAGGUGGUUAGUGUGUCCUUACCGCACUGCCAAUUGGUACUGAAAAUCCUUACCCAAUUUUCAGGGCGCUGAUCGACGCAUUGUAUUGAUCCGUUGUGCUUUUGAGCACCGUGGAGUUAAGCUUUACAUAAGCAGGAUCCCACGUAAAACACGUUUGACAGUUGUAUAGUUGAGACUCCCUGCGGGGAGGGAGAUAAGAAUAUUCCCGCGGUAAGGCAUGCCUGUCGUAGGAGGCGACUAAAAUCCAAAUGCACUAUGUCCGACAUUCACAUGUCUGGUUUAUUGAAUGUCGGCAUGGUCAGAGAUGUCAGAAAAGUGCUAUAUUGAGAUACUAUCAUAUUCUUUGAAUGGGUUUGCGAUUAUAUAACAAACACUAAAUGGAUUUGACGGAUAACACAUCAUAGAGUCGGGUUCUUAAGAAUUCCUCGGAAUUCUUGGGGGCUCGACUUGCAGUAGCUUAAGCGCAAGCUUGGGCUACAGGUCACACCAAAGACUAAAACAUGGUACCACGGGGAGCAGCCGCCCCUGGAGUUCGCUCCAGUCUGCUCAUUGGGUCUUGGCCCUUUGGGGAGAUUCGUGGUGGCUGUGGUUUAAACCUAAAUGCAGGAAGGACUUUGUCCAAUGUGGAGUCGCACUGCGGCCGGGUGCCGGACCCAGAGUACGGCAGAGGUUUUAGAUGGGCCUCGCACCCGACCAAGGUGGAAAGGGAGUCCCACCCUUUUAAUUUGGAACCAAAGUGUAUGUGUGUGUGGCAGGCACUCAUACCUUGGUUUUUCCAGAGUGUAGUGUGGGUGCACACACUUACGCUUUGGGGCGCUGAUCAACGCAUUGUUUUGAUCUGUGUGUUUCUAGUAAUAGAAAACACCGUGGAUUUGAGCCUCCUUAGGCAGAUACCCACGUUAAACCACAUUGGAUUCUGUAUAGUUGAGACAAUAAGUGCCCUGGUUACGUUAAUCUACAGUGCCGGACCGAUAAAUGAGCGCUUUGCGGAGAGCUACUUAACUAUUAAUAGUUUGGUCAUUAAUCUAUCUCUUACAUAUUGACAAUGUUGUGCGAAAGAGUACUUAGAGUCUAAUAUUAUACCUAAAAACUUAAGGCUAUUUGUACAAUUUAUAGUUAUAUCGGAAAAAGUUAUGGUAUGGGUGAUACAGUUUCUUUUUCUACAAAUGUGCAACAGUUUGGAUUUGCUAGGGGAAAUUGAAGCGCCGGAAUUUUGCGACCAGGAGAAGAUUUUGGAGAGGAUAUCGGAGAAGGUUCUUUGAACUGCUGCUUGAUCAGUGUUUUUGGAGUACACCAGAACAUCGUUAGCGUACAUAGUGGUAAAUUUAGAUAGUAAUUCGCUAAGUUCACCAAACGCUAUAAUGAAGAGAAUCACCGAUAAGGGUGAUCCUUGAGGAGUGCCAUUAUCUAGGGGAAGGAUAGAGGAGCGGGUGUUCGAGAUAAGGACACUUAUUUUACGAUGGGAUAAAAAAGAUUUUAUAAAGUUUAAGAUUCGCAGACCCACUUUCCAUUUGGUUAGUUGCCUUAGUACGAUAUGAAUGCCUAUUCGAUCGAAGGCUUUUUGAAAAUCGAGAGACAUCAAGGAGAUGUGAUUUUUAUUAGACAGAGCAUUAGAAAUGCAGAUAUUGUAGGAAAAGAAGCCAUCCCAGUUAGUCUUUUGAUGUCGGCCCAGAUACUUCUUGGGUUGGAUGAAGAGUUAAUGUUGCUGGUAAAUUUUUCAAAACAGGCAGCUUUCGCAAGUUUGGCUUUGCCAUGUACUUUGUUUGGCUUGCCUUAAAGUUGAAAGUUCAGCGCUCCACCACAAUGGAGCCGGCCUACGAGUUUUGCUACCUGAUUGUGGGAUAGAUAGAAUAGCCGCACUUCUGAUGAUUUUUUGGACGCGGGACGCUUCUUCGUUGACGUUAAGGGAAAUAGGAUAGGAGCUGCAACCAUGUAGACACGCAUCUUGGAACUUUAACCAAUCAGCAGAGUCAGUCUGGUAUUUCAACCUCGGGCGAAAUGUUGAAGGAGAACGGUUUAAAGGGAGUCUGUUUCCUUUGCGGAAUCGUUGCGAAUGUUGAAAAGGCUUACGGUGAUUCAGUUUUAUCAAUAACACAAGCCUACGAAAGAUCGUUGUAGACAUGCUCUUUUCUGGACGGCUUUCAACCUCUUCAACGUGUUCUUGCUGGUUUCGUCUCGAUAAAGCUGAAUUUCUUUCAAAAAGAGUGCCGUAAACAGGUCUGUUUAAAGCUAAAAACGCAAUGAAUGCACCAGAUUUAGCUCCGUGAAAUUUUUUCUUGUUCCUGAAACAGAAAUUGUCGCUGCGUGGAACCUGCUUUCAGUGGAGCGAAGAGAUAAAUAAAAAUUCUCCGAAGGAGGCCAUCCCAAAAAGUACUUAAAAAAUAGUUUCCAGGACUGGAAAAAUCGCUGGCAUAAGUGUAUUACAUCUGGUAUGAAUUUCUUUGAAGGCGAUAAAAUAUAUUGAACAAUUAAAUAUUUUGCGUUUUAUUUAUAAUUUUCGGGUAUUUUUUUAUCACAUCUCCGAUACUGGAGAUUUCCGUGUCCAAUCAAUAUCCCAUCUAACUCGUAAAAUCAUGUAAAAGCUUUUCAAUUUAUAUCCUAACAACCAAAAAUUUAACAUCCGUCUCAACUGUUCCGUUAUGUUUGAAAGAAUAUACACAUGCGGUCACGCAAAUCUUACACAAUAUUGACACAGUUAGAUUCCCACGUAUUUCUACUAAUCUAAUAAUUUAAAAGUUAGCGCUUUAUGCUUAAACAAUAUACUCGAAUGAUUUUGUAUAAGCAAAAAAAACUGUUUAUUGUUUUAUUCACUAAACGAAAUAAAUUAAAUACUAAGAAUGAUUUGCUUUAUAAAAACAAUUCACGAAGGAAUGAAAAAAUCCGAAAAAAACUAUUAAAAUGUAGUGGUAAGUUGCGUGUGGCCGUAGGUGUAGUCCAAGUAUAAAUUUCCUUCAAACGCUGGAACAAAUUGCCACUUUUUGAUCAUAUAUUGAGCUUGUGGUUAUCAAAUGAAAGUUUUCUUGCUCAUUAACAGCAAUUUUGCAACAGCUAAAUUCAAUAUGAAGUGUCACCAUGGGCUUCUUCGGUAAUGCAGUAAAUACCGUCAACACUGCACAAUUAGCACUGCCAAAUUUAGCUGCCUUGAAACUGUUCAAAACUGCGCAUUUCAGAAUUUUCUAGCAUAAAAAUGUGCGAACUAUUUUUUAUGCAUACUUUCAAGGACGAGUCAUAUAGCAUCAAAGAUCGAACGGGUAAAAAUGAAUCGUGUAAAAAUAUGAUUUUAUUAAUUGCGAAUAGCUUUAAUAUCAAACUGAUUAUUCCAUAAGUGAAAGUUGUACUGCACUUGCCGCAAUCUCUGUCUAUAUACAUACAUAUAUCCUAUAAAAUUAAAAAGAAA